rnacentral:lncRNA from 1 species
AGAAAUGUAACAACUUUAGCAAGAGUGGUCAGUUACUAAGAGCAGUAUUUGAUCUCCUGAGAAGAAAAGAUUCAGAGCAUAGGGUUUAUAUUUACAGAAAUAUAUUUGUUUGUAAUGUAUGCAAGCUCAGGUCACAUAAUAAAAUUCCAGAAGGCUGGGAAAGGCUGUUAGAUACAAUAGGGUGCCAUAAGAGUCACUAUCAAAAAUGAGCAUAUCAGUGCAUAAAAUGUAUGGUAGCUUUAUUUAGCAGUUAUUCCAUUGUUUACCAUAUUUUGAAAGCUAACGGAAAUCUUAAAAAGAAAAUGGAUGAAAGAAGGCCAUAUACUGGAAACAAUUCAGUAUGUCUACAGAAAUUGGUCUCCUCCAGUACAAAACAAUAAAACAGCAAGUGGUUAUUUCUUAGAAAGAUCAAAUAGUGUUAGGAUGACAUUUGCAAAUGCUUGAGAACUUUGUCUAGAUAAGGGGCCAGAUGACCAAGAUGUCUUAGAUGGGCAUAAGACCUGUCCAACAGAAGAUGCUCCAUUAUUUCCUCAUUCAACAGGCUCUAUGUAUCAACAG